GUGAUGUCAAGACCACAGACGAGAGUAAAAGGAAAGAAAAACAACAAACCAUUAAAAACACCAAAGAGUUCUCGCAACGAGUCUGCAAAGAGGCCAAGAAGUAGUGAGAAGAAAAAGUAGUUCCGGCGACUGUGAAUUCCGAUAAUAUGAUUAAAGACUGUUUAUUGACCUAUAGCUGUGUAUCAUAUCAUGGUACUGAUCAAAAUACAGGGUAGAAUGUCUAGUGGCCUAGGGUACACAACAAAACUAAUGGAUACAACUGUGCUAUCAUUACACCGACUGUCCUUAGCAAAUGAAUGCUUGGUUAUAUAGGAUAAAGCAUUCGUUUAAUAAGCUUACAGUGUUUUUUAUAGGACAUAUUCGUUAAAACCGUAUGUUAUUUAUACUUAUUUUGCAAUUCCUUUUAUAUACUUUUGAUAUACACAUGUAUGGUAUAUCGUUUUGUCGUACGUUAACUUAAAGUUGUCAUGACAUGAGGUUCAUGUAUUAUACAUGUAUAAAGGGUUAUAUGCAUUUGAAUGUUAACUUAACUAUUACUUGCCUAUAUAGGGCAAUUAAAGGUUUUCUGUUAUGAAAUCAAAUAAAAAGAUUAUGCAAUUUUC
rnacentral:misc_RNA from 1 species